rnacentral:rRNA from 1 species
CCGCAGUAAUACGAAGGUCCCAAGCGUUAUCCGGAUUUAUUGGGUUUAAAGGGUGCGUAGGCGGGCUAUUAAGUCAGUGGUGAAAGCUCUCAGCUUAACUGGGAAACUGCCAUUGAUACUGAUAGUCUUGAGUAUGAUUGAAGUGGGCGGAAUGUGUCAUGUAGCGGUGAAAUGCUUAGAUAUGACACAGAACACCGAUUGCGAAGGCAGCUCACUAAGCCAUAACUGACGCUGAUGCACGAAAGCGUGG